AAAUUGAAGAGUUUGAUCAUGGCUCAGAUUGAACGCUGGCGGCAGGCCUAACACAUGCAAGUCGAACGGUAACAGGAAGCAGCUUGCUGCUUCGCUGACGAGUGGCGGACGGGUGAGUAAUGUCUGGGAAACUGCCUGAUGGAGGGGGAUAACUACUGGAAACGGUAGCUAAUACCGCAUAAUGUCGCAAGACCAAAGAGGGGGACCUUCUGGCCUCUUGCCAUCGGAUGUGCCCAGAUGGGAUUAGCUUGUUGGUGGGGUAACGGCUCACC
rnacentral:rRNA from 1 species